rnacentral:tRNA from 1 species
GGGCCGGUGGUGAAAUGGCAGACACGUACGGUUUAGGACCGUAUCCCGUAAGGGUUGGAGGUUCAAGUCCUCUCCGGCCCA